GGGAGAGUUCAGGGUACACGUUUGACAGAAACCACUGGAAAUUUCUACAGCCCAAUCUCUUCUGUAGCUGAAGACGCUCACUGCAGUCUGGCUUCUCUGCCUUCAGGAAGAAAGCACAGGGCAAACAAGAUAUUGAUACAUAUCUCUCAAGAUCAAGCACAGGAGGAGGACCAGCUGUACCCUUUCUCCAACUUUGUGUUAAAACAGCAUUUAGUCUGGUGUUAUGACAGAAGUUAAUGUUUCAGAAGUAGCACACUGAAAAUUCGUAUUUCCUUUAAAAUUCUUAUAAUCCUGCAAGAUAAGUCAGAUCUUUUUAAUUAACAAAGUCUGGGUCAAGUUUGAUACUUGUUGUACUGAAAUCAGUGGGAUUGUAUCAGAUUGUCAUUAAGUAUAGCGUUAACCCCCCCCCCCCAGAGGGGAAAAAAAAAAAGAUAAAAAUUCAGUUUCCUGACCCUUAAGAGUCCAAAUUACCCAGUCAUUGUCAGUCUUCCCUGAUGAGAAGAUGUAAGUAAAAGGAGGAUUUGGCCUAAGAUAAAGCCUAUGAAAUUAUUACCUGGCAGCUGCUAAAUCUAGUGGGUGAAUGUGUUUUGUGGUUAUAAAGGCGUAGAAAACUUUCCUAAGAUUUAUGUAUUUUCUUAAGUUACAUACACACAAUCCUAACUCUUCAUCCUCCCUAGUACCAACUCUGUUCUGAAAAAAGACAGGUACCAUCAAACCUUGUUGCAGCUAUUGGCAUCGUCACUGCAAAGGACUGGGGUCUCAGUGUGUGAGGUAUUUAGCACCUGAAGAUGGCUAACAGGAUUCUGAAAACCUCCUAAGCAGGUAAGUGUCUAAUCCUUUGGUUUCAAAACCAUGCAAAACACUUUUCUAAAUCUCUCAUUGCUCAAACACUAAAAAAAAGCAACACAAAAAACAAACCCACCACCUUUAAGAGCCCCUCUCCUCUUUCUUGCAAGCAAUAAAUUUCCCCCUUCACAUUUCUACUUUUAAAAAAUGCAUUUUUAGAUUCCAGGACAGUGGUGUGGAUUCCUGUGUCAGAAAUUAAAAUUGGUAACAUAAACAAAGAAUUGCCUGUAAAUAACAUUUCUCAGCCCAGUCAUUUCUCAGCAUCCAUAAGGAAAAAAAAAAAAAAAAAAAAAAAAAAAGAAGCCAUUGCCAUGUGGCUGAAAGUCACUGACAAAUAAAGGGCCUUGGAGAUGAAGGGAGAGGUAUCAGUUUCUAAAGAUAGGUAUCAAUCAUGCCAGCCCCUGUAAGCCUCACAGGCAAACAUCAACAGUUGCAGUAUGUUAAAGAGAACCUUAUAGUCUAAUAUCAGUCCUAGAUUCAAUAAGAGUAAAAAUGAACUUCAGCAAUUCAGCACCACACAAACCUGGCCCCAAGAGGUUUCCUUGGAACAGGAAAACGGAGGAGUAAAAUGCUUUCCCUAAAAAGAACUGUUCCUCGAGAGACUCUGCUUUGGCUGAAGAAGGCAAUGGCAGUAAAUCUCAUGUUGUCACACUAGUUACAGUAUGCAUUUGAUGCUGAAUAAACAGUGUAAAUAUUAUAAAGAAAGUGAUUAUCCCUGUAAACCAAGCUGAAAGGAAACUGCAUGUAAGUUGAAAAAAAAACCCCAAACACACAAAAAAAAAAAAAA